AUGCUCUCAAUUUUCACAACUUCUGCUUCAGCCAUUACAUGUCUAGAUACUAAGUGUAGCAUAUUUUUCAAAUCUGAUAUAGAUUUUCAGCAAGAUAAGGUGGAAAUUGGACGAGGCAUGAUGUCUCAAGAAAAUUCAAAGAGCUCAAUAGAUUGGCCAAGAAGGUUUCUAGGCGGGCCGGGGUCAUUUCCGCCGCGAUGCAACGGCAAGUGUGACAAAUGUACACCAUGUAGACCGGUCCAUGUACCGGUGCCGCCAGGGACACCGGUGACAGCGGAGUACUACCCGGAGGCAUGGAGAUGCAAGUGUGGCAACAAGUUAUACAUGCCAUGA